rnacentral:rRNA from 1 species
GUGAGGAAUAUUGGUCAAUGGACGAGAGUCUGAACCAGCCAAGUCGCGUGAAGGAAGACGGUUCUAUGAAUUGUAAACUUCUUUUGUGCAGGAAUAAAGUGGGUUACGUGUAGCCUUUUGUAUGUACUGUACGAAUAAGGAUCGGCUAACUCCGUGCCAGCAGCCGCGGUAAUACGGAGGAUCCGAGCGUUAUCCGGAUUUAUUGGGUUUAAAGGGUGCGUAGGUGGAUUGAUAAGUCAGCGGUGAAAGUUUGCAGCUUAACUGUAAAAUUGCCGUUGAAACUGUCGGUCUUGAGUGCAAAUGAGGUAGGCGGAAUGUGUUGUGUAGCGGUGAAAUGCUUAGAUAUAACACAGAACUCCGAUUGCGAAGGCAGCUUACUGGGAUGCAACUGACACUGAUGCACGAAAGCGUGGGUAUCAAACAGGAUUAGAAACCCUAGUAGUCC